rnacentral:rRNA from 1 species
GACGAACGCUGGCGGCGUGCCUAAUACAUGCAAGUCGCCCUUAGUGGCGGACGGGUGAGUAACACGUGGGAACCUACCCAUCAGAGGGGGAUAACACUUGGCAACAGGUGCUAAUACCGCAUACUGAUGCAUGGACCCGCGGUGCAUUAGCUAGUUGGUGAGGUAACGGCUCACCAAGGCCCCGAUGCCUAGCCGACCUGAGAGGAUGAUCAGUCACACUGGAACUGAGACACGGUCCAGACUCCUACGGGAGGCAGCAGUGGGGAAUAUUGGACAAUGGGCGAAAGCCUGAUCCAGCCAUGCCGCGUGUGUGAAGAAGGUCUUCGGAUUGUAAAGCACUUUAAGUUGGGAGGCGGUACCAAAAGAAUAAGCACCGGCUAACUUCGUGCCAGCAGCCGCGGUAAUAG